rnacentral:rRNA from 1 species
UACAGAGGUCCCGAGCGUUGUUCGGAUUCAUUGGGCGUAAAGGGUGCGUAGGCGGCGGGGCAAGUCUGAUGUGAAAUCCCGGGGCUCAACCCCGGAACUGCAUUGGAUACUGCCUUGCUUGAGUACUGGAGAGGGAACUGGAAUUUACGGUGUAGCAGUGAAAUGCGUAGAGAUCGUAAGGAAGGCCAGUGGCGAAGGCGAGUUCCUGGACAGUGACUGACGCUGAGGCGCGACAGCGUGGGGAGCAAACAGG